UUAGGAAUACUUCCUUUUGGUCACACAUAAUAGGCACCUUUACAAGAAGCCAAUGUGUGGAAGGAUAGAGAUAGGGUUUUAGGUUUAAAUUCAAACCUUUUGAAUUCAAUUUAAAACCAAUCAAAUCCUAUCCCUAAUGGAUAAUAAAAGAAGGGUUUUCAUAUGGAUUUUUCAGUGUACAAAUCAAUUUGUGUGAUGGAAUAAGGCAUGGAGAGAAGGAAAGGCGCAAGAGAGAGAGUUUCAUUCAUCUGGGACUCUAGGGUUUGGCCAAUUGGGUUUCUAUCAAAUCCAAUCUAAUUAAAUUCAAAUAAAAUAUGAUAAACCUAAUCUAAUUAGAUUCCUAUAACCUCAAUUAAAUCUGAUCAAAUCACUAUAUUAAUUGAGUCAUAGACCUAAUCAAAUCAGGAUUAUUUCUUCCUUACCGA
rnacentral:lncRNA from 1 species